AUUGAACGCUGGCGGCAGGCUUAACACAUGCAAGUCGAGCGAGCGGCGGACGGGUGAGUAAUGUCUGGGAAACUGCCUGAUGGAGGGGGAUAACUACUGGAAACGGUAACUAAUCCCGCAUACCAUCGGAUGUGCCCAGAUGGGAUUAGCUAGUGGGUGGGGUAAAGGCUCACCUAGGCGACGAUCCCUAGCUGGUCUGAGAGGAUGACCAGUCAAACUGGAACUGAGACACGGUCCAGACUCCUACGGGAGGCAGCAGUGGGGAAUAUUGGACAAUGGGCGCAAGCCUGAUGCAGCCAUGCCGCGUGUGUGAAGAAGGCCUUCGGGUUGUAAAGCACUUUCAGCGAGGAGGCGUUACGCGCAGAAGAAGCACCGGCUAACUCCGUGCCAGCAGCCGCGGUAAUUC
rnacentral:rRNA from 1 species